AUGGCUGUCCUGGUUCUGCUCCUCUGCCUGGUGACAUUUCCAAGUUGUGCCCUGUCCCAGAUACAGCUGAAGGAGUCGGGACCUGGCCUAGUGCAGCCCUCACAGACCCUGUCGCUCACCUGCACUGUCUCUGGAUUCUCACUAACGAGUAAUUAUGUGCACUGGGUCUGCCAGCCUCCAGGAAAGGGUCUGGAGUGGAUGGGAAUAAUGUGGAAUGAUGGAAGUACAGAUUAUAACUCAGUUCUCCAGUCCCGAAUCACCAUCACCAGAGACACCUCCAAGAGCCAAGUUUUCUUAAAACUGCACAGUCUGCAAACUGAGGACACAGCCAUGUAU